AAGCGAUAAACUACACAGGCUUGGACCAAAUCGUGGUGGUCUGCCCGCUCGGAACCAAUUUGUGGCGGGGAAAAGGGGAGAUUGGCGCCGAGCGUUGCCGCCGCAGAGGACAGGCAGGGCCGCGCCGCCGCCGAGGAGGACCCGCAGGGUCGCGCCGCCGCCGCCCCAGUGAAGCGCUCCGCCUCGCCGCGGUGGUAAUCAGCGCCACCGAGCCCCCGCGGGAACCAGCUCCGCCAAGUCGCCGGGGAACCAGAAGAGCGCCGUCGUGCGCCGGGAAGCAGCGACUUGCCGCCGCGGUCCACGGAGGAGCGCCACCCUGACCACCACGUCUGAUUUCCCAGAUUACUGUGAGACUGCAUAAUAGUAUUUGGGGGACAUGCUUAAUUGGCAUGUGCAUUUGGCAGCUGCACAAAACUCUGGAUAAACUCUGGAUCCAUCAUUUUUCCUAUGUAAACUAGAUGGCAUAUUGAAUCAUCAUAUUCAGAGUGAGUAAUCAAAUGUUGUGCAAUGGCAGAAAUUGGAAAGAGGACACCCAAAGUUGGUAUGAGGUUCAGAGAUUCGGAAGAGGCUUGGGAGUUUUGGGUAGAUUAUGGGGGUCACAUCGGCUUUGAUGUGAGGAAAAGAUCCACAAUCAAAAGCAGAUGUGAUGGUGUGAUUACUUCACGCUGGUUUGUUUGUUCCAAUGAAGGCCAUCGAAGGAAAAACCAAACAGAUCAUGAGCCAAAGCGUAUUAGAGCAGAAACAAGAACCAAUUGUAAGGCUCAUGUGAUUGUUACAUAUGAUCGAGUUGCCAACAAUUUUGAAGUCACCGAAGUUGAUUUGGAUCACAAUCACCGCCUUCAAUUGCCACAAACCUGCCACUUGUUAGCAUCACAAAGGAAGAUUUCAGAAGUGCAAGCUUUCGAGAUAGAAACAGCCGAUGAUUCUGGAAUUAUGCCAAAAGCUUCACAUGAGUAUGCUUGUCGUCUAGUUGGUGGCCCUAACAACCUUGGUUACACUUGUCGUGACCGAAAGAACCAUUUGCGAAGCAAGCGGCAGCGGGAGUUGGCUUAUGGACAGGCUGGAAGUAUGUUGAAUUAUUUUCGUGACAAGCAGGCUGAGAAUGCAGCAUUCCAAUACCAUUUGCAGUUGGAUAGUGAGGAGCAUAUAGCCAACAUAUUCUGGGUUGAUGCUAAAAUGCUACUUGACUAUGCACACUUUGGCGAUGUUGUCACAUUUGACACUACAUUUGGCACAAACAAAGAGUAUAGGCCAUUUGGUAUUUUUCUUGGGCUGAACCAGUUCAGAAAAACAACCAUUUUUGGUGCUGCAUUGAUGUUUGAUGAAACACGUGACUCCUUUAUAUGGCUCUUUGAGACUUUUCUAGCCGCACAUAAUGGAAGGCAACCUAGAACUAUCUAUACAGAUCAAGAUGUUGCAAUGGGAAAAGCCAUAGAAAAGGUCUUCACAGAACCAUAUCAUGGAUUGUGCACCUUUCAUAUAAUGCAAAAUGCUGUCAAACACUUAACUUUUGUGAAGGGCGAAGAAAAAGAUGAAGUAGAAGAGAGAGAUGAAGUGGAGGGUGAAGAAAAAGAGCCUCAUAUUCUCACAGAUUUUGGUACUUGUAUGUAUGGCUAUGAAGACAAGGUUGCAUUUGAAGAAGCGUUUGCCAAUAUGAGGCUCAAAGUGCAUAAGCAAACUUGGUUAGAUAGUAUCUACAAGGUGAAAGAAAAAUGGGCUGAAUGUUAUAUGAGAGAUGUCUUUAGCUUGGGAGUGAGAAGUACACAAUUAAGUGAGAGCUUCAACAAUGCAUUGAAAAAUCAUUUGAAAUCAGAUUUUCAUAUUCUUCGAUUCUUGAUGCAUUUUGAGAGGACAGUGGCAGUAAAAAGAAGAGCUGAGUUAGAUUCUGAAUACGAUGCAAUAAAGAAUAUACCAAUAAUUAAGAUGAAGACUCCUAUGUUGGUGGAAGCAAGCGAAGUAUACACUCCGAUUAUUUUUGAGGCUUUCCAAGGUGAGUAUGAAAGAUCAAUGGCUGCAUGUUGUAGAGUAUUGGAUGGAAAUAACAGAUUUGUUGUUGCUAUUGCGAGGUAAAUUUGGUGCUUCAAGAGUGCAAUAAUAUUAUGAGUUUCACCCAGCUCUUGACGGCUGACCAUGAUAAUCUGUUCUAGCAUGGAAGCUCCUUAGAUAAUAUUUUGUACAUGGUGGUGAUGAUGAUGAUUAUCUGUUCUAGCAUGGAGCUUGUUAGAUAGUAUUUUGGACAUGGUUAACUAUAGUAGUAUGGGGUUAACUAUAUUAUUUUGUAGCCUAAGUGUACAAGCAAGUGGUACUGAAUUUGAAUGUAUUGAGCUUUUGAAUUACAAGCAGGCGGUACUGAAUUUCAAUCAAGUGAUACUUAGUUUGUAUUGUUAAAUUACUGUUGUUUUUGUUGCUAUAUGACCGCUGUUUGCAUACAGUUUUUUCCUUUUUUUUUAUAGCUAAGUUUGAAAUUUAAUACUGAAUUUCAAUCAAGUGGUACUGAAUUUGUAUUGUUAAAUUACUGCUGUUUUUGUUGCUAUAUGACUGCUGUUUGCAUACAGUUUUUUUGUUUUUUUGUAUAGCUAAGUUUGAAAUUUUAAUACUGAAUUUCAAUCAAGUGGUACUAAAUUUGUAUUGUUAAAUUACUGCUGUUUUUGUUGCUACAUGACUGCUGUUUGCAUACAGUUUUUUGGUUUUUUUGUAUAGCUAAGUUUGAAAUUUAAUUUAUGCAAAUUCGGUAAAAAUAAAUAUAGCUACUGUUUUGUACUGUAUAAUGACUGAAAAGUUGGUGAUUCUAUUGAACAAACUCUGAAAAACAGUAGUCUGAUGCAUUAAGCCCGUGUAGUCUCGCCUGGGAAUAUAUUUUUGCUUUGGAUAGCUGUGGGACGUUGGAUGGAGAUUGGAGGGCGGAUGGGAGGCCGCAUGUUGCAGCGUGACAUGCUGUAGGCAUGUCACCUGAUCCCAGUCCGUUCCUCUCUGCCCUGCGCCGUCCCCAUCCUCUGUAGAAGGAGCACGGCUCUCGUCGAUGUGCCUGGUGGGGAUCCGGUGCAUCCCCUCUCCACUCGCCUCCUCCUCUCCUGGGUCCCUGCGUUGCCGGCUCAGCCGCUUCUCCUGCGUCUUCUCCUCCCCGCUUCUCUCCUCCUAGUCGAGUCCUGGACCGGAUCGGCGUCCGGCGCAGGAGGCUCGGGGUGGUCGCAGGUUCGGCGCCAUCUCCUUCCUUCCCGUACACUGGAUCAAACAGCCCGCGGCCUGGCGGUGCUGGCCUGGAUCCGGAGGCAGAUGGACCAGAUCCUGGAGCUGGGCACGAAGGAGCUCGAGGUCGACGACUCCGGCUUCGUCCUCCUCCUCUGACGUCGCCACCUUGCUCAGGUCCAACACAUCUAUCCAUCGCCCCAGUUUUUACCAUUUCGUCGUGAUUACCAUCCCACGCCAUCCAUAGGGUGUGCCUUCUGCCCUUCUCACCACUCUGAACUCGGAGCAAGUGGAAAUUGGGUUGGGGAAGUUUUUCGAGCUCGAAAUUAAACCCAGUUCUAGAAUAGUAGAUGCUGGUGCUGAGAUGGUCGGUAGGCAGUGGCACUCAUAGGUCUCCAUUGCUUCAAAUCUAUUUGGUUUUAGGUGAUUUGGCACCCAAAACUCACAACACUGUUGCUACACAUCAGUUCAGGAAUCAAGGCAAAUAGCGGUAUUUCCCUUUGGGGUGAAUGGACGAACUGAUUAUGGGAAGACCAACCAAGUAGUUUAUACAAUACUCACAAUUUCUCACACUUCCAGCGAAUUAAACUGAAACUGACGAUUAGAUGUGCCUUCUCUCAUUCGUACAUUGUUUGGGGGUUUGGUUUGAGAAGUGGGUUGCGGCACUCAUGAUUUUGCUUGUUUCAGGGAUGGAAUGAAUUGGGGGUCAGCAUCUAACACACACACACACACACACACACACACACACACACAGAGCGCGCGCGCACACGCGCGCACACGCACGCACGCGCACGCACACACAGAGAGGGAGAGAGAGAGGAUAAUUCUGUUUAUUACGUCAACCAUGUAGUAGAAACCAGAUAGAACUAAACAGCUAGGGUUUUGAAGUUGACUCGGUAGCUGAAUCAUGGUCCAUGAAUUUGUGUAAAACGACAAGUGUGCUACUGAAUUAAAAUUCUACCUGUUCAUUCCAUUGCCCAGUUACCAUCUGAAAGGUUCUAUUUUGCCACCGCAACUCUAAUUAGAUUGUUAUAGUUCAGACUAAGGGGAUCAAGAUUAGUCAUCUGUUAGCUAUGUACUAUGGACCUCAACACUAGCUGAGUAGCUACGUAGCUAAUCAUUGAUCUUGUCUUGGGUGAAAGGCUGGCGUUUGUUAAUUCAGAUACUGAAAGGUAACCCGCACUGACUUUAUUUGUUUACUUUCCUUCUGAAAUCUUAUUUGCUUAGCUUCUAUUGACGACAUUUCUAAUCUUUUAUCUUCGUCGGCAAACUCAACUGCAUCUCAGUUUUCUAUUCCCAUUUCCUGGAUUGCGGGUCCUGAUGCGCAAGAUUCUUCUGUUUGCUAUGGGUCCUGGACGAUGGCAAGCAUUGACGUGCGUACGCCGUUGCAACAGCCACACCUCAACCCUCCCGACGCACGCAAUAAUCAGCGGUGCCAAAAUGAUUUGGUGUUUGCAAAGGUCGCUUUUGUUGCAUUUUCUACGUGAGAAACCAUCUCAGGCUGUAAGUUUGCACAGCCUGGACACUUCACUUGCAUAUCUUGUUAGUUACCGAUUGGACUAUACGUAAUUAUGUUCACUUAUAUAUAACAAGAGUUACUUUACCCAACUCCCAAGGAAAUUGAUAAAAAAAAACAUGUCUGCAUACUAAAUGUUCUUGCAAAUCUUGUUCUCAGAUUGUCAAUUGAAGGCGACCACGAAAUAUUCUCAUGUUCUUUUAUAAUGUUUAUUUGGGGAUUAAAAUCUUGAUAAUUAGAUGUACUGCUUCGCUUCAUAUGUAAUUUCCCUCAUGCCUUCUAAUCCGUUCAGAUGACUAGCUAUUAUCCACAUUAGGUUUUGCUCUAUCUAAUUGGUCGUUCAAUUAGUCAAAUAGCCGUUUCAUUUUUAUUAUGCUGACACAAGAUCUGUCUCUGUUCUAAGAUUUAGUUUCUGGUCACUUUUUGUGAGGUUUUUCAUCAAAGAUUCUCUUUAAACUCCUAUUUUAUACCUUUCUUUAUGGUUCUUUGCAUGGAAGUACUCUGUCUUCUUGCUUAUAUUAUUCUUCUGCUAUCAUACAGAUUUGGAUGCACCUGCACAGUACUGAUAGUACAUGAAAUUCAUCAACCUGCUAUUGCCGCAACCAACCAAAAUUUGCUCUAACAGAGUGAUGAAUACAAUAUGCAUGCUAAGCUUUCUUCAAAUUAUGCUAAUUGAUCUUAAAAAGCUGGCUACUGGUGUUAUUUGCUGCAAUUUAUUUCUGACAGCCAGGUAGACUUGGAAUGCUUUCGUAAUGCAAUUUAUUUCUGACAGACAAGCUAUGCUAAUUGAUCUUGAAAAGCUGGCUACUGGUGUUAUCUGCUUUGUGGAAGGCUGUUAGCAUUAAACUUUAGUGCUCGCCUGUUCAUCAUAGUCUCAUUCCCUAGAUAAUUAAUGAGGCAUGAAAAAUAGGUGAAAUUGCAGGAAAAUUGAAGAUGGGAACACGAUUCAUUUUGUCAAUGGGAACAUCUACUAUUACAGAUACACUUUCUGUAUUCUACCUAUCGAUGGCGUAAUGUUUGAAUAUCAAGUCAUUUCUUUUUGUCAUUAGCAGUUGCUCUUAUUUAUGUUCAUAUUCCAAGUAUGCAUAUGCUGCUCCGGUGGUGUUUUAUUAGUUGAUUGGCAUAUAUGGAUCUCUCCAUGUUUAUUAGUUGAUCUCCAACCCCUACUCUGCUGUGGUUCUGUGGGAGCAAGAAGAACAUGCAUGCUUUCUCUCUACAUCUAGGGUCCAUACGGCCAGAUUGACGGGCCUAAACUCUGGCUCAAAGGUUUCUUUCAAGAAUCAUGAGAGAACAUUCAAGGAGUGGAUUAUUUGGAAAUUAGAACCUUCAGAUUUCUUAGAACUUCACUUGGAUUUAUGUGAAUAUAAGCAUAAGAGGUCUAGUGGCAAUGCUACAAAAUCACUGCAGGCGAUAUAAUAACGUUGUAGAUAGACAGAGACUGAAUCAGUUGACACCACUUUGAUGUCUAUCGAGCCAAUGGGACAACAAAG